ACCUUCCUUGUCUUGGGGAGCAGAAAUGUCCAAUGAACGUCUAGUGAGGGCAUUGCUGCUGACACCAAAGAUAUUACCCCCGCUCACUGGUCGCCUGCGAUCAGGGUUCGGAAUUUUUGGACCA